rnacentral:rRNA from 1 species
CAGCCGCGGCGGUAAUACCGGCGGCCCGAGUGGCGGCCACUAUUAUUGGGCUUAAAGCGUCCGUAGCCGGGUUGGUUAGUCUCCCGGGAAAUCUGGCCGCUUAACGGUCAGAAUUCCGGGAGAUACUGCCAGCCUAGGGACCGGGAGAGGCCGAGGGUAUUCCCGGAGUAGGGGUGAAAUCCUAUAAUCCCGGGAGGACCACCUGUGGCGAAGGCGCUCGGCUGGAACGGGUCCGACGGUGAGGGACGAAGGCCAGGGGAGCAAACCGGAUUAGAUACCCGGGUAGUCCUGGCUGUAAACGAUGCGGACUUUGUGUCGGGUGAGCUUCGAGCUCGCCCGGUGCCGUAGGGAAGCCGUUAAGCCCGCCGCCUGGGGAGUACGGCCGCAAGGCUGAAACUUAAAGGAAUUGGCGGG